GUUACUAUAGUAACCGUUGAAUCGCCAAGGAAUGAAGUUUUAUGUCCUGCUACUGGCAGCUUGUUCUUAGAUCAAGAUGGAAAGUGGCCUGACACAGAAGGAGAUGCUAGCGCAAGUCAAUCAGCUGUGGAGCAUUCUGGAUGAUAUGGCUGAACACAACCCAGACAGUUACCAGAAGUUCAUACAAAGGCACAUGAAGGAAGAAAAAAUAAUUUAUGGCACCUCCUGAACCUAAUCUGUGUAUUCAGACAAAAAUCUUGGUGAGCUGUUGAUAUCAGAGGAACAAUAUUCACAACAGUCAAGGAUUGUUCACGCAUUGGCUAAUAAUGGGUUGUUUGCAUGUUUUGAUCCAGAAUCAUUUCAUCAUACUAGGUGAAUGCAUUUGACUUAUAUUUAUGUUCUUAUUGCAGAUAAGUGUUUAACACUUGAAAUUCUGAUUAAGUAGCCUAGUGUUUCUCAUGACCUAGAAAUACCCUGUUCAUGUAUUUUUACUUAGUUAUUAGAAAUACCUAGUCUUGCCUUGGUAAAUAAUAAACGACAUGCACAUAGUAA